rnacentral:rRNA from 1 species
UGCCAGACUCCUACGGGAGGCAGCAGUGGGGAAUAUUGGACAAUGGGGGGAACCCUGAUCCAGCGACGCCGCGUGAGUGAAGAAGUAUUUCGGUAUGUAAAGCUCUAUCAGCAGGGAAGAAAGAAAUGACGGUACCUGACUAAGAAGCCCCGGCUAACUACGUGCCAGCAGCCGCGGUAAUACGUAGGGGGCAAGCGUUAUCCGGAUUCACUGGGUGUAAAGGGAGCGUAGGCGGCACGGCAAGCCUGAUGUGAAAGCCCGCGGCCCAACCGCGGGACUGCAUUGGGAACUACCGGGCUGGAGUGCCGGAGAGGUAGGCGGAAUUCCUAGUGUAGCGGUGAAAUGCGUAGAUAUUAGGAGGAACACCAGUGGCGAAGGCGGCCUACUGGACGGUGACUGACGCUGAGGCUCGAAAGCGUGGGGAGCAAACAGGAUUAGAUACCCGCGUA